UGGUGUGUGUGUGUGGGUGAGUGUGGGUGUGUGUGUGUGUGUGUGUGUUAAGCAACCUAUGUUGAAUACAGUUGUUCAAAUUCUUUGGCCAACUCAGAAAAAAAAU